AUUGAACGCUGGCGGCAGGCCUAACACAUGCAAGUCGAACGGUAACAGGAAGAAGCUUGCUUCUUUGCUGACGAGUGGCGGACGGGUGAGUAAUGUCUGGGAAACUGCCUGAUGGAGGGGGAUAACUACUGGAAACGGUAGCUAAUACCGCAUAACGUCGCAAGACCAAAGAGGGGGACCUUCGGGCCUCUUGCCAUCGGAUGUGCCCAGAUGGGAUUAGCUAGUAGGUGGGGUAACGGCUCACCUAGGCGACGAUCCCUAGCUGGUCUGAGAGGAUGACCAGCCACACUGGAACUGAGACACGGUCCAGACUCCUACGGGAGGCAGCAGUGGGGAAUAUUGCACAAUGGGCGCAAGCCUGAUGCAGCCAGGCCGCGUGUAUGAAGAAGGCCUUCGGGUUGUAAAGUACUUUCAGCGGGGAGGAAGUGAGUAAAGUUAAUACCUUUGCUCAUUGACGUUACCCGCAGAAGAAGCACCGGCUAACUCCGG
rnacentral:rRNA from 1 species